GUGCCAGCAGCCGCGGUAAUACGAAGGGGGCUAGCGUUACUCGGAUUGACUGGGCGUAAAGGGCGCGUAGGCGGAUAGUACAGUCAGACGUGAAAUUCCUGGGCUCAACCUGGGGGCUGCGUUUGAUACGUGCUGUCUGGAGUUCGGAAGAGGGUCGUGGAAUUCCCAGUGUAGAGGUGAAAUUCGUAGAUAUUGGGAAGAACACCGGUGGCGAAGGCGGCGACCUGGUCCGAUACUGACGCUGAGGCGCGAAAGCGUGGGGAGCAAACAGGAUUAGAAACCCCCGUAGUCC
rnacentral:rRNA from 1 species